rnacentral:lncRNA from 1 species
AAAAUCUCUACAAUUAACAAUUGAAUCAUUGAUUUUAAUUCAAAUUUUGUAUAUCUCUCAAUAACUAAGUUUAAAACAAGGACAAAAAUUUGUAAGAAGAUUAAACUUAUUAAAUAGAAGUUAAAUCCCAAAAUUCACUUGGAUGUUGGCCAACCUCCUCCAAUCUUAAUGCUAAUCUUUCUGAGUAAAAAUCUUUUAAUUCUACCAUUGAAUACCUCUCAAAAGUCACAUAUAUGUUAAUAAAGUCUACUAUCCAUAUACAUAAAUUUCACUUGAAUCCAA